rnacentral:tRNA from 1 species
GUCCUCUUGAUGGAAUUGGUAGACAUGGCUGAUUCAAAAUCAGUUGCGAAAGCGUAUGAGUUCGACUCUCAUAGAGGACACCA